AGAGGAUCAACCAUGUUCUCUGUAGCUCUGAUACUGCUACUGACAGCUGGUAGCUGUGUGUACUGCAUUGAUCUGAUUCAGCCAGACUCCAAGGUUGUCCAGCCUGGACAGUCUUUGAUCAUCACCUGUCAGCCCUCUGGUUACUCUGUAAGCGAUGACAGCUAUGCAACAGGUUGGAUCAGACAGCGUCAAGGAAAACCGAUGGAAUGGAUAUUUCACAUGUGGGGUGCUGGUAACUUUUACCAAAAUGAUGCUCUGAAGAACAAGUUCAGCUACAGCAGAGACACUUCGGCAGGAACAGUUACAAUAACAGGACAGAACCUGCAGACUGAAGACACAGCUGUUUAUUACUGUGUGAGACGCCCCACAAAUGGAGCCUGGAGUGAGAUCAAACUGGAGCAGUCAGCCUCUGAGGUGAAGGGACCUGGAGAGACAGUGAAGAUGUCAUGUGUCAUUUCUGGUUUUGACAUGACAAGCUACAAUAUCCACUGGAUAAGACAGAGAGCAGGGAGAGCUCUGGAGUGGAUUGGGUAUAUGAACGCUGGUAACAACAAUCCCAGCUAUGGAAGCUCCUUUCAAGAACGUUUCAUCAUGACUGAAAAUGUCCCCAGCAGCACCCAGUUCCUUGAGAUCAGCAGCCUAACAGCAGAAGAUUCUGCUGUUUACUUCUGUGCUCGAGAAACACAGUGA